rnacentral:rRNA from 1 species
ACUAAAUAGAUACCCUGGUAGUCCACGCGGUAAACGAUGAAUACUAGCCGAUGGGGUGUUAAAGCCUUAGUGGCGCAGCUAAACGCGAUAAGUAUUCCGCCUGGGAAGUACGGCCGCAAGGUUAAAACUCAAAGGAAUUGACGGGGCCCGCACAAGCGGUGGAGUAUGUGGUUUAAUUCGAUGCAACGCGAAGAACCUUACCUACUCUUGACAUGGUGGGAAUGGCGUAGAGAUAUGCCAGUGCCGAAAGGAACCCACACACAGGUGCUGCAUGGCCGUCGUCAGCUCGUGUCGUGAGAUGUUGUCUUAAGUGACGCAACGAGCGCAACCCUUGCCUCUAGUUACCAUCAUUCAGUUGGGGUACUCUAGAGGGACUGCUGGCCUAUGGCCGGA